rnacentral:rRNA from 1 species
CCUGGGGAGUACGGCCGCAAGGUUAAAACUCAAAUGAAUUGACGGGGGCCCGCACAAGCGGUGGAGCAUGUGGUUUAAUUCGAUGCAACGCGAAGAACCUUACCUGGUCUUGACAUCCACAGAACUUUCCAGAGAUGGAUUGGUGCCUUCGGGAACUGUGAGACAGGUGCUGCAUGGCUGUCGUCAGCUCGUGUUGUGAAAUGUUGGGUUAAGUCCCGCAACGAGCGCAACCCUUAUCCUUUGUUGCCAGCGGUUAGGCCGGGAACUCAAAGGAGACUGCCAGUGAUAAACUGGAGGAAGGUGGGGAUGACGUCAAGUCAUCAUGGCCCUUACGACCAGGGCUACACACGUGCUACAAUGGCAUAUACAAAGAGAAGCGACCUCGCGAGAGCAAGCGGACCUCAUAAAGUAUGUCGUAGUCCGGAUUGGAGUCUGCAACUCGACUCCAUGAAGUCGGAAUCGCUAGUAAUCGUAGAUCAGAAUGCUACGGUGAAUACGUUCCCGGGCCUUGUACACACCGCCCGUCACACCAUGGGAGUGGGUUGCAAAAGAAGUAGGUAGCUUAACCUUCGGGAGGGCGCUUACCACUUUGUGAUUCAUGACUGGGGUGAAGUCGUAACAAGGUAACCGUAGGGGAACCUGCGGUUGGAUCACCUCCUUACCUUAAAGA